GUAGUUUCUCUGUCCAUGUAUUAGAUGGACUUUUUUCCACUGCCAGAGCAAUCAGAGCUGGCUGAGUGAAAACGCGGCGAAUCAGCGAGGCAGUUGUGAGGCCCGAUCUAACUUCUAAUUCUGGCUAGCACGCCUGUCUAAGAGCUCACUCAGAGCGCAUGCCACUAAUACAAAAG